rnacentral:lncRNA from 1 species
CGGUGAUGGGCGCGCGGUACCUCCCGGCGCCCCCUUCGCUCCCCGAAACCGCCCCGAGGCCACGGUGAUGGGCGCGCGGUACCUCCCGGCGCCCCUCUGCUCCCCGAAACCGUCCCGACGCCACCCUUUCCCGUCCCCCAGCGGCUCCGCCGGCCGGCUGAUGUUCUCCAAGGAAGACAAGGAGGCGGCCAAGAUGGGGCUCUCCGUCUUCACGCAUCAAAAGGCGCCGGGCAGCCCCGAGAGGAAGCAGCACAAGGAGGAGAAGGCUGAGGAGCGAGGCUCGGAGAGCGGCAAGAAACCUAAAAAAGAGAAAAAGAAGAAGAAGAAGAAGAAGAAGCACAAGAAGGAGAAGAAGAAGGACAAGCGGCGCGGGAGGGACGCCUCCACCUCGUCGUCCUCCUCCUCCUCCUCUCCGGAGCGGGACGUGAGGCGCCGGCGGAGGAAACCCGGCGACRUGGAUGAUUCCUCCGGCAGCGGCCGCCACUCGCCCAGCCGGAGCCGCAGCCGGAGCCGGAGCCGGGACGGCCGUGGCCGGCACCCGUCGCCGCGCCGCCGCGGCAGGAAGAGGAGCGGCAGCCGGUCGCCGUCGCGCCGCCCGCUCGCAGGACCCAGGGAGCCUGGCGCUCGGCCCCGCAGGUCUUAA